rnacentral:rRNA from 1 species
UACGUAGGGGGCUAGCGUUGUCCGGAAUCAUUGGGCGUAAAGAGCGUGUAGGCGGCCCGGUAAGUCCGCUGUGAAAGUCGGGGGCUCAACCCUCGAAUGCCGGUGGAUACUGUCGGGCUAGAGUCCGGGAGGGGAGAGCGGAAUUCCUAGUGUAGCGGUGAAAUGCGCAGAUAUUAGGAAGAACACCGGUGGCGAAGGCGGCUCUCUGGAACGGUACUGACGCUGAGACGCGAAAGCGUGGGGAGCGAACAGG